AUUGAACGCUGGCGGCAUGCUUUACACAUGCAAGUCGGACGAGUGGCGAACGGGUGAGUAAUAUAUUGGAACGUACCGAGUAAUGGGGGAUAACCAAUGGAAAGAGUGGCUAAUACCGCAUAUUAUGCGAGGGGCCAAGAUCGGAUUAGCUAGUUGGUGGGGUAAAGGCCUACCAAGGCGACGAUCAGUAGCGGGUCUGAGAGGAUGAUCAGCCACACUGGAACUGAGACACGGCCCAGACUCCUACGGGAGGCAGCAGUGGGGAAUUUUGGACAAUGGGCGCAAGCCUGAUGCAGCCAUGCCGCGUGUCUGAAGAAGGCCUUCGGGUUGUAAAGGACUUUCGUUGGGGAAGCGUUACCUACAGAAUAAGCACCGGCUAACUCCGUGCCAGCAGCCGCGGUAAUAC
rnacentral:rRNA from 1 species